AUGCUUUGCAACUAUUGGUACGGUUCUGGAGCUAAUGACUUGUAUGGACGAUUGGGUUUUCAUCUGCUGCAAACUUUCCAUGGAAAACUGCUACUACUAUUAUCUUUCGCUGCACAAUUUCUUAACUUUGGAGGAUCUGUUUUUCGACCUUUGCUGUUCUUUGUUGCGUGCUGCAAAAUUGUACUACAUGUUGCUUGGGUACCAAUGGACGAAUGCAGUUCCAGACUAGUUGGAAAACAUAGUAGUAGAUGCUUGCUGUUGUCCCUUGCAGAGGUCCAGGAAAAACAGAGAGCAGCUCCUCUGUUUGAACAUUCAGAUGCUGCCAUUGAAGAGAAUCGAUGA
rnacentral:rRNA from 1 species